rnacentral:lncRNA from 1 species
CUCCCUCCCUUCUCCUCCCUCUCCUAAUCCCUCCUCUUACCUCCCACCACACACAUACACACACGCCCCGCCCCACCCCGCCCCGGGCCACCCUCUCCCUACAGGUUACGUUUGAGGACGGCAGCUACGUGAUCCGUCAGGGGGAGGAGGGUCGGGACUUCUUCGUCAUCGCCUCCGGGGAGGUGUCCUGUACUGUCAAGAAGAACCUGGCGAACCCCGACGAGCAAGCCAAGGAGGUG